UUACAGCCAUAUCACGUUGAAACACCAGUUCUCGUACGGUCACCAAAGUUAAGCAACCUCGAGCUUGGUCAGUAGCUAGAUGAGUGACCACUUGAAAUAUCAGGUUCU